rnacentral:rRNA from 1 species
UACGUAGGGUGCAGGCGUUUAAUCGGAAUUACUGGGCGUAAAGCGUGCGCAGGCGGUUUUUUAAGUCAGAUGUGAAAUCCCCGGGCUUAACCUGGGAACUGCGUUUGAAACUGGAAAGCUUGAGUGCGGCAGAGGGGGGUGGGAAUUCCACGUGUAGCAGUGAAAUGCGUAGAUAUUGGGUGGAACACCGGUGGCGAAGGCGGCUCACUGGUCCGGUUCUGACGCUGAGGCGCGAAAGCGUGGGGAGCAAACAGG